rnacentral:rRNA from 1 species
GGCGAACGGGUGAGUAACGCGUAGGCAACCUACCCUUUAGACGGGGACAACAUUCCGAAAGGAGUGCUAAUACCGGAUGUGAUCAUCCUGCCGCAUGGCAGGAUGAAGAAAGAUGGCCUCUACAAGUAAGCUAUCGCUAAAGGAUGGGCCUGCGUCUGAUUAGCUAGUUGGUGAGGGUAAAGGCCCACCAAGGCGACGAUCAGUAGCCGGUCUGAGAGGAUGAACGGCCACAUUGGGACUGAGACACGGCCCAGACUCCUACGGGAGGCAGCAGUGGGGAAUCUUCCGCAAUGGGCGAAAGCCUGACGGAGCAACGCCGCGUGAACGAUGAAGGUCUUAGGAUCGUAAAGUUCUGUUGUUAGGGACGAAGGGCAAGGGUUAUAAUACAGCCUUUGUUUGACGGUACCUAACGAGGAAGCCACGGCUAACUACGUG